rnacentral:rRNA from 2 species
AAAUUGAAGAGUUUGAUCAUGGCUCAGAUUGAACGCUGGCGGCAGGCCUAACACAUGCAAGUCGAACGGUAGCACAGAGAGCUUGCUCUCGGGUGACGAGUGGCGGACGGGUGAGUAAUGUCUGGGAAACUGCCUGAUGGAGGGGGAUAACUACUGGAAACGGUGGCUAAUACCGCAUAACGUCGCAAGACCAAAGAGGGGGACCUUCGGGCCUCUUGCCAUCAGAUGUGCCCAGAUGGGAUUAGCUGGUUGGUGAGGUAACGGCUCACCAAGGCGACGAUCCCUAGCUGGUCUGAGAGGAUGACCAGCCACACUGGAACUGAGACACGGUCCAGACUCCUACGGGAGGCAGCAGUGGGGAAUAUUGCACAAUGGGCGCA